CGGGGUUAAUAAUCAAGGGUAUGUAAACUUUUGAACUGGUUCCUUUGUGUAAAUUCAGGUAUGUGUGUGUCUCGUGGACUAUACGUAAUAACCUGUUAUGUGAAAUAGUGUAUUCAGGCCAGGACUAAAUAAACAGUACAACACAAUUUUAAUGAUUCCUCUAAUUGAUUCAUUUUUAAAGACUAACCUCCUCGCUGAAUGAGUUUUUAUUCAGAUCGAAAAAACCCAAGAUAAACAAGCGGGGCUUUCAUCCUUCGUUUAGAGAACAACUGAAGGACAUUGACACACAGGAGCGGAUUUCAACAUUCCCAAAUGUGUCUCACAUCAGUUUCACAACACACUUCUCUUUCAGAAGGAGCUUCAGGAGGAACUGUAACUUCAACCUCACACCAGCUGUAACAUCACCGUGAAGACCCAACGCUACUGAGAUACUAUACCACACUCCCACACAAACACUAAUAUAAUGAUAUAACCAGCACACACCUGUCUCACAUCCCGACGUUCAAUAUAACCGUCACACACCUGUCUCACAUCCCGACGUUCAGUAUAACCGUCACACGCCCGUCUCACAUCCCGACGUUCAAUAUAACCGUCACACACCUGUCUCACAUCCCGACGUUCAAUAUAACCAGCACACACCCGUCUCACAUCCCUACAUUCAGUAUAACCGUCACACACCCGUCUCACAUCCCGACGUUCAAUAUAACCAGCACACACCCGUCUCACAUCCCGACGUUCAAUAUAACCAGCACACACCUGUCUCACAUCCCGACGUUCAAUAGAACCGUCACACACCUGUCUCACAUCCUGACGUUCAGUAUAACCGUCACACGCCCGUCUCACAUCCCUACAUUCAAUAUAACCAGCACACACCCGUCUCACAUCCCUACAUUCAGUAUAAUGAUGAUCACACACCUGUCUCACAUCCCUACAUUCAGUAUAACCAUCACACGCCCGUCUCACAUCCCUACAUUCAGUAUAACCGUCACACGCCCGUCUCACAUCCCGACGUUCAGUAUAACCGUCACACGCCCGUCUCACAUCCCUACAUUCAGUAUAACCAGCACACGCCCGUCUCACAUCCCUACAUUCAGUAUAACCGUCACGCGCCCGUCUCACAUCCCUACAUUCAGUAUAACCGUCACGCGCCCGUCUCACAUCCCGACGUUCAGUAUAACCAUCACACCUGUCUCACAUCCCGACAUUCAGUAUAACCAUCACACACCCGUCUCACAUCCCUACAUUCAGUAUAACCGUUACACGCCCGUCUCACAUCCCUACAUUCAGUAUAACCAUCACACCUGUCUCACAUCCCUACAUUCAGUAUAAUGAUCACACACCCGUCUCACAUCCCUACAUUCAGUAUAACCAUCACACCUGUCUCACAUCCCUACAUUCAGUAUAAUGAUCACACACCUGUCUCACAUCCCUACAUUCAGUAUAAUGAUCACACACCUGUCUCACAUCCUUACAUUCAGUAUAAUGAUCACACACCUGUCUCACAUCCCUACAUUCAGUAUAAUG
ensembl:lncRNA